rnacentral:tRNA from 2 species
GGGCCCGUAGCUCAGUUGGUUAGAGCAGUCGACUCAUAAUCGAGAGGUCGCAAGUUCAAGUCUUGCCAGGCCCA